ensembl:snRNA U6 U6 spliceosomal RNA
GUGCGCGCUUCGGCAGCACAUAUACUAAAAUUGGAACGAUACAGAGAUCAGCAUGGCCCCUGCACAAGGAUGACACACAAACUCGUGAAGUGUUCCAUAAAUUA